rnacentral:lncRNA from 1 species
CGGAUUCCAUAAUGUAAGAGUAGGAGUCAACUCGUAUCUGAAUUUGAACGUAUGGCUCGAAGAAAGUUGAGGUGUUGAAGUUCCAUCUGUAAGAAAGGAAUACAAGAUUCCAGGGGAGACUUUGAUACGCCUCAAUGUUCGAACGGAUAUCAUUUUUUCUUUCACGACAUUGAUGAAUGGCUAUUUCCCACGACGGAAGAAAGGACCUGCAAUACUACUAACUUCAAGUCAUUCUUUUGAUUUAUAAAAAAAGUCAUUCUUUUGAAGCGUCGGAGUUCAAAAAUUUUAAAAAGUAUCGCUGGAAUCCCAGCAAUAGUUUUCGAGGCUUGCAGGUUUAGCUAAGUCAUAAAGAAAUAACAAUCGACGACAAAAAAAGGGAUGAGAAAUAGACUUACUUGGAGAAGCUACUCAUAGAAGAUAGGACGCGGCGGCGGAGGCGGGGCUUUAUUGUGGCCGGACGGCGGAAGAAAUUGAGAAAGAUUACAGGCAGCUGCCUCUCUUCUUUU